UCUGCGGUGCCCAGAGGAAGAAAGUGGAACAGCCCUCCCUACGAAGGACCAACCGUUUCCAGCAUUUCUUUAAUCGCAUGUCUUUGAAACUGGCCAGAUUUAAGUGACCAUCUACUCACACUUCAUAAAUUCCCUUGCACAUGGCAAGUCACUUCAGUCGCCCAUGUAGGCACUGAAAAUAAAAGGGAUCGCUGUGGAGAAGCUGUGGCAGUCAUCACACUCCUUUUAUCGAAAUCAUAUGCUAAUUAUCAUUUGUUUGUUUGUUUUGUUUUGUUUUUGUUUGUUUUUUUCGAGACAGGGUUUCUCUGUGUAGCCCUGGCUGACCUGGAACUCACUUUGUAGACCAGGCUGGCCUCGAACUCAGAAACCCACCUGCCUCCUAAUUAUCAUUUAUUAGGAAUGACAGGGCGGUGUGGUGUGUCUAUAACUAGCGGGUGUGUGUGCAGAGGGAUCUAGAAAAGUCUCUCGCUUUAAGAUGAUACAGUCUGCAAAGAGAGAAAACACAAAGACCUCACAAACAAACCAAUGAAUCAUGCCAGGCCGUGAUAAAGACUCUCCGAGGACACAGUUACCCAGCGAUGACGUCACAGAAAAGGCAAGAGGGCCUGACAGGGAUCUCAGAGGACAAACAGAGUCUCACCAGACCCGACGGAACCGUUCCAGGUGGAUGAAGGGUGUGAUCGGAGCGGCCUUAGUGGAGUCUGUGGAAACUGGGAAAUAGUGGGCCUUAAGCUGGGAAUGUGGAUUCAGGCCAGAAUGUGGAAGGAAACUAAGGCGCUUGGACUUCAUCCUAGUGGGGCAGCAGUGAAUUGGAGGGGGAGAAACAAGAAGAACUGCAAUCCAGUGACUAAGCAGCUAUGACAGAAUGUGUGUAUUUUGGGACGUGUUUCUACAUAUCAACAGCAAGGCAAGAGGAAUCCAGGGAAGUGCAUUCUUCUAGCAAAAGGAACCCACUAGAAGAUGCUACCACACUGAUCAUCAGACUGUGGCUGUGGUACCUGAUGAAAUAGCUGUGGACUCACCCAGCUGCUGAAGGCUGUCCCGUGUGACUCACAGGUCACUAUUUGAGCUUUGCUAAGAAUCCAAGCGCCCACACAAGCCAGGAAGUUCCAACAACCCAGGCAGGAUCAGCUUGGCGGAGAGCACCUCCUCUUUCACCCUCUGUAGGGUUAUGGGGAAAGCUCUGGUGUUCAACGUGGACCACGACAAUCUGGUGAACGCCACAAAUCCUGCCGAGCCUGGGAUUGCAUGCCUUUUGAUUAAUACAGGUUGCUACAUUCCUAAGGACUAUAUAAGGAAACAUUGCAUGGGCCAGCAAGAGAUGGCUCAGAGAGGAAAGGCGUGCCCCCCAAACCAGUGCUCUGAGGUCCGUUCCAGGGAAGCACCUCGUGGAAAGAGAAGGCCCACCACACAAGCUGUCCUUCUACCUCCUCAUCUGUACCAUGGCUCGUGUCCUCUCUCACUGCCACAAAACAAAUAAAUGUGACAGUCAUAGAAGAAAGGGGACACCGUGCAAAGAAAUCUAAUUCUGGCCCAUUGGAAGCAACCUGACUUGAUAGUUUGAUCUUAGUUUUCCUUCAGGAAAAAAAAAAAUACAAAGGUCAAAAACUAAUCUUU
rnacentral:lncRNA from 1 species